rnacentral:rRNA from 1 species
AGCUCUAAAAGCGUAUAUUAAUGUUGUUGCAGUUAAAAAGCUCGUAGUUGGAUUCUUUGCCAGCAUGAGCAACUUGAGGGUGGUAUUAAAGCCAGCCGAGAGGGGCUCAAUGCAGGCGUUUAAAAAAUUAAUAGAAUGAUUUAAUUAUUAUUUUAUUUAUUUUACUGUAAAGAAAUUAGAGUGUUUAAAGCAAGCAAUUACAAUUGUAAUUUACUGUUAUUGAAUUUUUCAGUAUGGGAUAAUGGAACAUGACAAAAUUUACUGGAAGGGGCAACCCGGAAAGUAAAACAAAAUUUUUGUAAUGAUCAAAAGAAACGGUUGAGGCUAUUUGUAUUCAAAAGGAAGCGGUGAAAUGUGUAGAUUUUUUGAAGACAAACUAAUGCGAAAGCAUUUAGCCAGC